rnacentral:rRNA from 1 species
UACAGAGGGGGCAAGCGUUAUUCGGAAUUAUUGGGCGUAAAGGGCGCGUAGGCGGCCUGGCAAGUGGAAGGUGAAAUCCCUCGGCUUAACCGAGGAACUGCCCUCCAAACUGCUUGGCUUGAGUCCGGGAGAGGUGAGUGGAAUUCCCAGUGUAGCGGUGAAAUGCGUAGAGAUCCGGAGGAACACCAAAGGCGAAGGCAGUGUCCUGGGGAGUACCUGACGCUCAGGUGCGAAAGCCAGGGGAGCGAACGGG